UACGUAGGGGGCUAGCGUUGUCCGGAAUCAUUGGGCGUAAAGAGCGUGUAGGCGGCCCGGUAAGUCCGCUGUGAAAGUCGGGGGCUCAACCUCGAAUGCCGGUGGAUACUGUCGGGCUAGAGUGCGGAAGAGGCGAGUGGAAUUCCUGGUGUAGCGGUGAAAUGCGCAGAUAUCAGGAGGAACACCAAUGGCGAAGGCAGCUCACUGGGACGGUAUUGACGCUGAGACGCGAAAGCGUGGGGAGCAAACAGG
rnacentral:rRNA from 1 species